rnacentral:rRNA from 1 species
AGAGUUUGAUCCUGGCUCAGGAUGAACGCUAGCUACAGGCUUAACACAUGCAAGUCGAGGGGAAACGAUAUUGGAAGCUUGCUUCCGAUAGGCGUCGACCGGCGCACGGGUGAGUAACGCGUAUCCAACCUGCCCACCACUUGGGGAUAACCUUGCGAAAGUAAGACUAAUACCCAAUGACGUCUCUAGAAGACAUCUGAAAGAGAUUAAAGAUUUAUCGGUGAUGGAUGGGGAUGCGUCUGAUUAGCUUGUUGGCGGGGUAACGGCCACCAAGGCUACGAUCAGUAGGGGUUCUGAGAGGAAGGUCCCCCACAUUGGAACUGAGACACGGUCCAAAACUCCUACGGGGAGGCCGA